UACGGAGGAUGCGAGCGUUAUCCGGAUUUAUUGGGUUUAAAGGGUGCGUAGGUGGUUUGUUAAGUUUGUGGUGAAAGCGUGCGGCUCAACCGUACCAAGCCAUGAAAACUGGCGAACUUGAGUGCAAACGAGGUAGGCGGAAUGUGAUGUGUAGCGGUGAAAUGCUUAGAUAUGUCACAGAACCCCGAUUGCGAAGGCAGCUUACCAGCAUGCAACUGACACUGAGGCACGAAAGCGUGGGUAUCAAACA
rnacentral:rRNA from 1 species